AGCGCAGAGAGCCAGACUGCUGGAUGAGAGCUGAUGUAAUCUUGGAUUUCUACAACCGACGAUGAUAUUUUCGUUACGAAAGAAAGAAAACUGUACACAAAUAACACAAUGCAUAACGGGAAGACGAGGAUGGAGAGAAAGAUCAGAGCAGGAAGAACCAGAUGACUGCAGCAGAUGACAAACUAGAUCACCAACAUACAAUAGAGCAGAAAAGUGAGUGUGAAGUAGUCUGGAUCAGCGGUUCCUGAAACAGCUGCAAGCAGUGAAACCAGAGGCCAGGCAGCCAAUUGUGAACAGGUA
rnacentral:lncRNA from 1 species